UACGGAGGUGGCAAGCGUUGCUCGGAAUCACUGGGCGUAAAGGGCUCGUAGGCGGCCAACUAAGUCAGACGUGAAAUCCCCGGGCUCAACCUGGGAACUGCACUUGUGACUGCAUGGCUAGAGUGCGUCAGAGGGAGGUGGAAUUCCGCGUGUAGCAGUGAAAUGCGUAGAGAUGCGGAGGAACACCGAUGGCGAAGGCAGCCUCCUGGGAUGACACUGACGCUCAUGCACGAAAGCGUGGGGAGCAAACAGG
rnacentral:rRNA from 1 species